AUUGAACGCUGGCGGCAGGCUUAACACAUGCAAGUCGAGCGGAGAUGAGGUGCUUGCACCUUAUCUUAGCGGCGGACGGGUGAGUAAUGCUUAGGAAUCUGCCUAUUAGUGGGGGACAACAUUCCGAAAGGAAUGCUAAUACCGCAUACGUCCUACGGGAGAAAGCAGGGGAUCUUCGGACCUUGCGCUAAUAGAUGAGCCUAAGUCGGAUUAGCUAGUUGGUGGGGUAAAGGCCUACCAAGGCGACGAUCUGUAGCGGGUCUGAGAGGAUGAUUCGCCACACGGAGACUGAGACGCGGCCCAGACUCCGACGGGAGACAGCAGUGGGGAAUAUUGGACAAUGGGGGAAACCCUGAUCCAGCCAUGCCGAGUGUGUGAAGAAGGCCUUAUGGUUGUAAAGCACUUUAAGCGAGGAGGAGGCUACUGAGACUAAUACUCUUGGAUAGUGGACGUUACUCGCAGAAUAAGCACCGGCUAACUCUGUGCCAGCAGCCGCCGUAA
rnacentral:rRNA from 1 species